AACGAACGCUGGCGGCAGGCCUAACACAUGCAAGUCGAGCGAGGACUUCGGUCCUAGCGGCGGACGGGUGAGUAACGCGUGGGAACGUGCCCCUUGGUACGGAAUAGCCCCGGGAAACUGGGAGUAAUACCGUAUGAGCUCUACGGAGGAAAGAUUUAUCGCCAAGGGAUCGGCCCGCGUUGGAUUAGGUAGUUGGUGGGGUAAUGGCCUACCAAGCCGACGAUCCAUAGCUGGUUUGAGAGGAUGAUCACCCACACUGGGACGGAGACACGGCCCAGACUCCUACGGGAGGCAGCAGUGGGGAAUUGUAGACAAUGGGCGCAAGCCUGAUCUAGCCAUGCCGCGUGAGCGAUGAAGGCCUUAGGGUUGUAAAGCUCUUUCAGCUGGGAAGAUAAUGACUGUACCAGCAGAAGAAGCCCCGGCUAACUCCGUGCCAGCCGCCGCGGUAACAC
rnacentral:rRNA from 1 species